rnacentral:rRNA from 1 species
CGAGUGGCGGACGGUGAGUAACGCGUGGGUAACCUGCCUUACACAGGGGGAUAACACCUGGAAACAGGUGCUAAUACCGCAUAAGCGCACAGGGCCGCAUGGCCCGGUGUGAAAAACUCCGGUGGUGUAAGAUGGACCCGCGUCUGAUUAGCUUGUUGGCGGGGUAGAGGCCCACCAAGGCGACGAUCAGUAGCCGGCCUGAGAGGGUGGACGGCCACAUUGGGACUGAGACACGGCCCAAACUCCUACGGAAGGCAGCAG